CACACACACACACACACACACACACACACACAGGUGAAUGAUCAGAGUUUAGUUAAAAUGAUAACGACCCGCUCCUCUCACCGCGGCCAUGUUGGGGUCAUCGAUGGGUGGUACUCACGCCUCGGCGGUCGGUCCGACAGCUCGGUAGUUUGCCGUAGUGCUGAUGAGCUCGGUCUCCUCAUAGUCCUUGUUGACACCAUCUCGCCGCUCUCUCGCUCGGUCUCGGUACUUCUCGGCGAGCUCGCGCUCACGCUCCA